GUAGGUGGCAAGCGUUGUCCGGGAAUUAUUGGGGCGUAAAGCGCGCGCAGGCGGUUCUUUAAGUCUGAUGUGAAAGCCCACGGGCUCAACCGUGAGGGUCAUUGGAAACUGGAGAACUUGAGUACAGAAGAGGAAAGCGGAAUUCCACGUGUAGCGGUGAAAUGCGUAGAGAUGUGGAGGAACACCAGUGGCGAAGGCGGCUUUCUGGUCUGUAACUGACGCUGAGGCGCGAAAGCGUGGGGAGCAAACAGGAUUAGAUACCCUGGUAGUCCACGCCGUAAACGAUGAGUGCUAAGUGUUAGGGGGUUUCCGCCCCUUAGUGCUGCAGCUAACGCAUUGAGCACUCCGCCUGGGGAGUACGGCCGCAAGGCUG
rnacentral:rRNA from 1 species